rnacentral:rRNA from 1 species
AGAUUACUGGGGGAUCGUCUGAACAAGGCCUGCGCUUAAUUGCGCGGCCAGUUCUUGAUUCUCUGCUAUCAGUUUUCUAUUUCUCAUCCUAAACACAAUGGAGUUUUUUCUCUAUGAACUACUUCCCUGGAGAGCUCGUCUCUCCAGUGGACAUAAACACAAACAAUAUUUUGUAUUAUGAAAAACUAUUAUACUAUAAAAUUUAAUAUUCAAAACUUUCAACAACGGAUCUCUUGGUUCUCGCAUCGAUGAAGAACGCAGCGAAUUGCGAUAUGUAUUGUGAAUUGCAGAUUUUCGUGAAUCAUCAAAUCUUUGAACGCACAUUGCGCCCUCUGGUAUUCCAGGGGGCAUGCCUGUUUGAGCGUCAUUUCUCUCUCAAACCUUUGGGUUUGGUAGUGAGUGAUACUCGUCUCGGGUUAACUUGAAAGUGGCUAGCCGUUGCCAUCUGCGUGAGCAGGGCUGCGUGUCAAGUCUAUGGACUCGACUCUUGCACAUCUACGUCUUAGGUUUGCGCCAAUUCGUGGUAAGCUUGGGUCAUAGAGACUCAUAGGUGUUAUAAAGACUCGCUGGUGUUUGUCUCCUUGAGGCAUACGGCUUUAACCAAAACUCUCAAAGUUUGACCUCAAAUCAGGUAGGAGUACCCGCUGAACUUAAGCAUAUCAAUAAGCCGGAGGAAGGA